AGAUUGCCGCCGGAAAUGCCGCAGAUACCGCGUCAGAUACUGCGACAUCUCAAGCUUCCACCGGAAAUGACCCUGGUAGCUGCGGAUGAUACUAUUUUAACUUGCUGUCUCUCCAUGGAUGCGUUAGUGAUUCUGUUGGUUCUUCUGUCCCAAGCAGCUUCUGAUGUGGUACGAGUGAAACCUGGAGAUGAUGUCAUUCUGCCAUGUCGGGCUGGUAACGCCUCCAUCAGAGCUGUAGAGUGGAGCAGACCUGACCUGGAGCCAGAGACCGUCCUCUUUUACAGAGAUGGACGCUCAGUUCCAACCCAGCAGCAUCCAUCCUUUAAGGACCGGGUGCAGCUGGUGGACAGAGAGCUGAAGGACGGAGACGUGUCUUUAAUUCUGAAGAACGUGAGCAGCAACGACGCUGGAACAUACGAGUGUCGAGUUGCAGCAGGAGGUUCAAGACGUAAGAGAGCCAUCAUUAAGACUGAGCCAAUCAGAAUCAUCCAGCUGGAGGUUUCAGGGUCCAACAGCGGAGACGUCGAGGUGGGAAACUACGGUCUUUACUACGGACUGGUAGCAGCUUUUGUUCUGGUUUGUUUAGCUGCUGUUGGAUUGACUGUUGGCUGGAAAUAUAAAAGACAUAAGAACAAGAAACCAGAACACUCUGCUGCUUAAGAAGCAGUGAACGACCAGUUAUUCUGAUCUCUUUCCACCACAUGUUUAAUACAUUUAACAUGAUUUUCAUUCUUUCUGUUGUGAACGUGGAAGUUUGAGGCUCUCCACCGUGAUAAUCUGCAUCAUCAGUUUAAACUCAUAAUUUUCCCCUUCAUGAAUUGCUACCUUAUCGUGGUGGAGGGGUUUGCGUGCCCGUUGAUUCUGGGAGUCGUCUUAUCUGCAUAUCAGCUUUGGUCUAAAGACAAAUUGGUCCCAGAGACGGAUCAGACUAAAUGCAAUUCAAAUAUACACCGUUGGCCAGGGAUGGGAAAAAGUACUACAAUAUUCUUCUUAAGUAAAAGAAAACUUGCUUAAACUGCACUCAGAUACAAACAAAACGUAGAUCAGUUAAAAUCUGCUCUCAGUAAAUGAUGAAGAUGUUAUAUGAUAAUGUCAUGUGAUUUGACUCUUAAAUCAAAGACCAGCUUUCCAAAAUAAAGUGCAUUAACAUGUCAGUGUUCACAGUGGAACAUUUAUUUUCUAUAGACGCACUCUGCAGCCUAAUAAAGCAUCAAUAAGGCAGCACAGAGAUCUAGAGACAAUAUAAACUCCACAGCAGCUGCAGCAGAUACAAAUACUGAGGUACAAGUAAAAUAUCAGAUAUUUUAAAAACAAUCAGACUAUAAAAGUACUUUGUUACAGUAAGGAGAGUAAAUGUAGCUGGUUGCUUGCAGCCUCAGCACUGAUGUAUCACAGGGAGCUUCAUGAACAGAUUAACCAGCUGAGUUGUUGUUUUAGCUUGAUAUAAUAGGUGAGUUCGAGAUGACGGCGGCUGACUUUCGGUGAUUUGAUAGUGUAACGUGAGCAGCAGGGGCGGGGAAUAAAAACGGCGUCGUCAACUCGGGCAAAUUCUACCUGCAUCAGCUACUGUGAGCUGAGAUCAAUGAUCUCGCGCACACACACAGAGGCAGGGCCGUGCAGAGACCUUUGGAAGGGCAGGUGCUCAAAGUAUAAAACGGCCACAUGGAACAAGGAUUUAAAUAGGGCUGUUCUCAAAAUAUCGAUACAGAAAUAUAUUGUUAUGUAUUCCUUGAUUAUAUGUGUAUACAGAUGCUUCCGUAUCGAUACAUCAACAAAUGCUUUGACACAGUUUUGAAAAAGAAACACAGGGAACAACCCAGAUCUAGCUUUAAAACACGGUGGGCUGACAUAACUUACAGGGAACAGUAGCUGUUGAGGGGCUGCUGGGGAUGUUGCUGCUGCUUUGGUUGCUGCUGCUACUACUGGAGGUGAUCUGUGACUAGAGAUAUUAUAACAAACAUAGGAGAUAUAUAAGCAGAUGAAACAAAUAUGUGACCAUGACGAGAUGUAAAGAUUGCUGACAGUAUUUGGGACCGGCUCACUAUGACUGAGCUGCUGCAGCUGCAGCCGCUGCCAAGGCUGACUGCUACGAGAAAAUAAGAGCUCACAGAGACUGCUGCACACCGAGAGCUGCAGGGAGAGGAAAUAAGAUACCAGAUUCAAAAGAGUGUGGGAAAUAAUCUGGGAAGGAAACAGUACUGGGAGAAAGGACUAGGUUAGCCAAGGCAGGAGUAAGAGUGAGACACAUCUAUAGACAGGUGUGUGUGUGUGUGUGUGUGUGUGUAGGCAAUAUUGUGAUAAUGAUUUUAUAUAUUACAUUGUGAAUCUGAGAAAUAUUUGGAUUUUGAUUGACUAUAUGUCUAAUCAUAAAUCUAAAUAAACUGUGUGUGUUCUUUCUGUUGGCUCAUUAUAACCAUGACAGAGCAGCAUUCACCUUUCACAUUAACAUUUCAUACCUUUGUCUGAAAUCUAAUAGGGCCAUUUCUUCUUCACUCUUUACUUUGAUGUCAGGAAUGUUAUUUAUUUUAUAUUGACACAGACAUUAUUACAUGUAUUUCCAGUUAUUUAGUUCAUAGAUUUGCUAUCUAUUCAAAUACUGUUCUGAUUUGAAUGAUCAUUUGAAAAAGGGCUGAUAAGUAGGCUAUAAUUCGGAGUAAUAAACCUGUUUUAACAAUGUUGUUAUAAUUAUUGUGAGGCACACUACGUUUUUAAUUAAGUUACUGUAAUAAUCCUAGUUGAAGUGAAAGGUUUUUAGUCAAAUUACAUAAAAAAUACCAGACCUCGCCACGUCCGUGAAACUUUUCUCCCUCAAACCGCAAGAAGGAAGUGAACAGAGCACCUUUUGUUUAUCUGUGUGUAGAAGCAACGUCAGCUGUCGGCGCAGUGUUAGUCGGCAGCUGACGUUACUUCUACACGCAGCAAUAUACAACUACUGUGCUGCUCUCUUUGCGUCUUUCUUGUAAAAUAAAUCAAACAACCCACAACAAGCACACUGAGGUAAACCUCUCUCACCGGCGGGAUCACAGAUGUAGUCAGAGCUGCUGAACCACUAACGGUGUCUCGUCCCGGAUGAGGUCAUCAGAUGAAAGGUCAUUGUUUACGGUGAAAUUAUUAUUCAUUCAUUUUACCAAUAGUUUGAUUCAGCAGGCCUUCACAAAAGGACCUUUACAAAUAAAAAAAAUAAUUAAUUAAAUUUGUCAUUGACAAAAGGGCACUUUGGGCAUCAAAGGGCAAAAGGGCAGGUGCUCAAGCACCCAUAGCACCCCCCUCUGCAGUUAUAGGGUUAUAUGAAGAGUUAUCCACAGAAAGAAACUACUACUCACCACAGCCACUGUUGCCAUUUCCUAAUUUAGCGUGAUUUAGACGUGCAAAUAUUGAUAGUGGUGGAUAUUUUGAUGGAACAUUUGAUGGACUUUUUUUAAUGUUUUGUAUAAAUCAGUCACUGCUGCCGGCUUCUGUUCUAACUGUGUAAUCUGUGAUUACAGUGAAUAAAGUGAAAGUAUUUUUACAGUAA